UACAGAGGUCCCAAGCGUUGUUCGGAUUCAUUGGGCGUAAAGGGUGCGUAGGCGGCGCGGUAAGUCGGGUGUGAAAUCUCGGGGCUUAACUCCGAAACUGCAUUCGAUACUGCCGUGCUUGAGGACUGGAAAGGAGACUGGAAUUUACGGUGUAGCGGUGAAAUGCGUAGAUAUCAGGAGGAACACCGGUGGCGAAGGCGGAUCUCUGGGCCUUACCUGACGCUGAGGCGCGAAAGCUAGGGGAGCGAACAGG
rnacentral:rRNA from 1 species